GCUUACGGCCACACUCCCUGAGCACAGCCGAUCUCGUCGGAUCUCGGAAGCUAAGCAGGGUCGGCCCGUGAGUACUUGGAUGGGAGACCGCCUCGGAAUACCAGGUGCUGUAAGCU
rnacentral:rRNA from 1 species